AAAGAAAGGGCAAGGUCAUAUCUUUCUUCAGAGAGUUGUGGUGUGAGGCCAGUUCCUGAAGAUGCUGGUGCUUCUGCUGCUUCUGGGACCCAGCUCUGGCCUUGGCGCUCUCGUCUCUCAGCAGCCCCGCAGAGCUGUCAGGAAGAGUGGCGACUCUGUGACCAUCCAGUGCCGUGCAGUGGACUUCCAAGCCACAGCUGUGUUCUGGUACCGUCAGCUCCCGAAACAAGGCCUCGUGCUGAUGGCAACUUCUAAUGUGGGCACUGAUGCCACAUACGAACAAGGUUAUAACAAAGACAAGCUUCCCAUCAGUCAGCCAAACCUAACAUUUUCAUCUCUGAAGGUGACAAGUGUGGAUCCUGCCGACAGCAGCCUCUACUUCUGUGGUGCUAGAGACACAGCGCUGGGUGGAGAUCAGAGACCCAGACAAGAAUCUUGGUAGCAUCCCCCUUCCCCAUCCCACUGAACCAUGCGGCC